GGAGAGAUGACCGAGCGGCCGAAGGUGCACGAUUGGAAAUCGUGUGUGCUCUAAAGGCACCGAGGGUUCAAAUCCCUCUCUCUCCG
rnacentral:tRNA from 1 species